GUGUCAGCAGCCGCGGUAAUACGGGGGUGGCAAGCGUUGUUCGGAAUUACUGGGCGUAAAGGGCGCGUAGGCGGCAUAACAAGUCAGAUGUGAAAGCCCCGAGCUCAACUCGGGAACUGCAUCUGAAACUGUAUUGCUUGAGUUCUGGAGGGGGUAGUGGAAUUCCCAGUGUAGCGGUGAAAUGCGUAGAUAUUGGGAGGAACACCUGCGGCGAAGGCGGCUACCUGGACAGUGACUGACGCUGAGGCGCGAAAGCUAGGGGAGCGAACGGGAUUAGAUACCCCGGUAGUCCUAGCCGUAAACGAUGGGCACUUGGUGUUGGGGGUAUUGAGUCCCUCGGUGCCGGAGCUAACGCGAUAAGUGCCCCGCCUGGGGAGUACGGUCGCAAGACUGAA
rnacentral:rRNA from 1 species